GAUGAAGAACGCAGCGAAAUGCGAUAAGUAAUGUGAAUUGCAGAAUUCAGUGAAUCAUCGAAUCUUUGAACGCACAUUGCGCCCCCUGGUAUUGCGGGGGGCAUGCCUGUCCGAGCGUCAUUACAACCCUCAAGCUCAGCUUGGUGUUGGGCCCCGCCGCCCCGGCGGGCCCUAAAGUCAGUGGCGGUGCCGUCCGGCUCCGAGCGUAGUAAUUCUUCUCGCUCUGGAGGUCCGGUCGUGUGCUCGCCAGCAACCCCCAAUUUUUUUCAGGUUGACCUCGGAUCAGGUAGGGAUACCCGCUGAACUUAAGCAUAUCAAUAAGCGGAGGA
rnacentral:misc_RNA from 1 species